AUUGAACGCUGGCGGAAUGCUUUACACAUGCAAGUCGAGCGGCAGCGCGGGGGCAACCCUGGCGGCGAGCGGCGAACGGGUGAGUAACACAUCGGAACGUACCCAGUGGUGGGGGAUAGCCCGGCGAAAGCCGGAUUAAUACCGCAUACGACCUGAGGGGGAAAGUGGGGGACCGCAAGGCCUCACGCCGUUGGAGCGGCCGAUGUUCGAUUAGCUGGUUGGUAGGGUAAAGGCCUACCAAGGCGACGAUCGAUAGCUGGUCUGAGAGGACGACCAGCCACACUGGAACUGAGACACGGUCCAGACUCCUACGGGAGGCAGCAGUGGGGAAGUUUUGU
rnacentral:rRNA from 1 species